rnacentral:rRNA from 1 species
AGUGAACGCUGGCGGUAGGCCUAACACAUGCAAGUCGAACGGCAGCACAGAGGAGCUUGCUCCUUGGGUGGCGAGUGGCGGACGGGUGAGGAAUACAUCGGAAUCUACUCUGUCGUGGGGGAUAACGUAGGGAAACUUACGCUAAUACCGCAUACGACCUACGGGUGAAAGCAGGGGACCUUCGGGCCUUGCGCGAUUGAAUGAGCCGAUGUCGGAUUAGCUAGUUGGCGGGGUAAAGGCCCACCAAGGCGACGAUCCGUAGCUGGUCUGAGAGGAUGACCGGCCAAACUGGAACGGAGACACGGUCCCGACUCCUACGGGAGGCAGCAGUGGGGAAUAUUGGACAAUGGGCGCAAGCCUGAUCCAGCCAUACCGCGUGGGUGAAGAAGGCCUUCCGGUUGUAAAGCCCUUUUGUUGGGAAAGAAAUCCAGCUGGCUAAUACCCGGUUGGGAUGACGGUACCCAAAGAAUAAGCACCGGCUAACUUCGUGCCAGCCGCCGCCGUAA